rnacentral:tRNA from 1 species
GACCGUGUAGCUCAGAGGAUAGAGUGUCCGCCUCCGGAGCGGAAGGUCGCAGGUUCGAUCCCUGUCUCGGUCG